rnacentral:rRNA from 1 species
ACGGGAGGCAGCAGUCGGGAAUAUUGCGCAAUGGAGGAAACUCUGACGCAGUGACGCCGCGUAUAGGACGAAGGUCUUCGGAUUGUAAACUAUUGUCGUUAGGGAAGAGAAAGGACAGUACCUAAGGAGGAAGCUCCGGCUAACUACGUGCCAGCAGCCGCGGUAAUACGUAGGGAGCAAGCGUUAUCCGGAUUUACUGGGUGUAAAGGGCGUGUAGGCGGGACAUCAAGUCAGAUGUGAAAGCACGAGGCUCAACUUCGUGUCUGCAUUUGAAACUGACGUUCUUGAGUGUUGGAGAGGCUAACGGAACUCCUAGUGUAGCGGUGAAAUGCGUAGAUAUUAGGAAGAACACCAGUGGCGAAGGCGGUUAGCUGGACAAUAACUGACGCUGAGGCGCGAAAGCGUGGGUAGCAAACAGGAUUAGAUACCCUGGUA